AUCUGCAAGUCGAGCGGACCGAAUCGGAGCUUGCUCUGGUUUGGUCAGCGGCGGACGGGUGAGUAACACGUGGGCAACCUGCCCGCAAGACCGGGAUAACUCCGGGAAACCGGAGCUAAUACCGGAUAACACCGAAGACCGCAUGGUCUUUGGUUGAAAGGCGGCCUUUGGCUGUCACUUGCGGAUGGGCCCGCGGCGCAUUAGCUAGUUGGUGAGGUAACGGCUCACCAAGGCGACGAUGCGUAGCCGGCCUGAGAGGGUGACCGGCCACACUGGGACUGAGACACGGCCCAGACUCCUACGGGAGGCAGCAGUAGGGAAUCUUCCGCAAUGGGCGAAAGCCUGACGGAGCGACGCCGCGUGAGCGAAGAAGGCCUUCGGGUCGUAAAGCUCUGUUGUGAGGGACGAAGGAGCGCCGUUCGAAGAGGGCGGCGCGGUGACGGUACCUCACGAGGAAGCCCCGGCUAACUACGUGCCAGCAGCCGCGGUAAUACGUAGGGGGCGAGCGUUGUCCGGAAUUAUUGGGCGUAAAGCGCGCGCAGGCGGUUCCUUAAGUCUGAUGUGAAAGCCCACGGCUCAACCGUGGAGGGUCAUUGGAAACUGGGGGACUUGAGUGCAGGAGAGGAGAGCGGAAUUCCACGUGUAGCGGUGAAAUGCGUAGAGAUGUGGAGGAACACCAGUGGCGAAGGCGGCUCUCUGGCCUGCAACUGACGCUGAGGCGCGAAAGCGUGGGGAGCAAACAGGAUUAGAUACCCUGGUAGUCCACGCCGUAAACGAUGAGUGCUAAGUGUUAGAGGGGUCACACCCUUUAGUGCUGCAGCUAACGCGAUAAGCACUCCGCCUGGGGAGUACGGCCGCCAUGGCUGAUCUCAAAGGAUUUGAUGGGGGCCCGCACAAGCGGUGGAGCAUGUUGUUAAUUCGAAGCAACCCGAAGAACUUACAGUCUUGACAUCCCUGACACCCUAGAAUUGGCGUUCCCCUCGGGGGAACGGGUGACAGUGGGUCAUGGUUGUCUCAGUCUAGCUCGUG
rnacentral:rRNA from 1 species